rnacentral:lncRNA from 1 species
GUAAGUGGUGAGCAGAUAGCCAUUAUCCAAAGUUUUAACUAACAGAUUGGGAAGAACACCGAUGGCCAAAAAGAAGAAGAAACAGGAACUGUUUUAUAUGUGUGGAGAAAAUUAUUGAACAGAAGGUGGAAGCCAGAGGAACUCUAAGGUAUUUGAUUAACUGUUUUACAUGAAUUUUUUAGUUUAAUCCUCCAACUGCCCAAGAAGUUAAUAACCCCAUAUUAAGAAUGAGUAAAAUAAACUCAGGAGAUUAAGAAAUCCAUAUGUGUACAUAUUUAUGGAUUGUGAUCACUUGGAUUCCACAGUUUUAGAAGAAAUAUAAAUUGUA